UAGAGAAAUGGCUGAGUGGUUUAUAGCUAUAAAUUGCUAAUUUAUUGUAUAUAUUAUAUAUAUACCAAGGGUUCAAAUCCCUUUUUCUCUAU
rnacentral:tRNA from 2 species